rnacentral:rRNA from 1 species
UACGUAGGCAGCAAGCGUUGUUCGGAUUUACUGGGCGUAAAGGGUGUGUAGGCGGUUCCUUAAGUUUGCUGUGAAAUCUCCCGGCUUAACCGGGAGGGUGCGGUGAAUACUGAGGGACUAGAGUACGGGAGAGGAAAGUGGAAUUCCUGGUGUAGCGGUGAAAUGCGUAGAUAUCAGGAGGAACACCGGUGGUGUAGACGGCUUUCUGGACCGUAACUGACGCUGAGACACGAAAGCGUGGGUAGCAAACAGG